UACGGGGGGGGCAAGCGUUGUUCGGAAUUACUGGGCGUAAAGGGCUCGUAGGUGGCCAACUAAGUCGGACGUGAAAUCCCUCAGCUUAACUGGGGAACUGCGUCUGAUACUGGAUGGCUUGAGUUUGGGAGAGGGAUGCGGAAUUCCAGGUGUAGCGGUGAAAUGCGUAGAUAUCUGGAGGAACACCGGUGGCGAAGGCGGCAUCCUGGACCAAUACUGACACUGAGGAGCGAAAGCCAGGGGAGCAAACGGG
rnacentral:rRNA from 1 species